GCGGACAUAGCUCAGUUGGUAGAGUGCUUGCCUAGCAUGCAUGAAGUCCUGGGUUUGAUCCCCAGUGCCACA
rnacentral:tRNA from 1 species